rnacentral:rRNA from 1 species
UGAGGAAUCUUGCGCAAUGGGGGAACCCUGACGCAGCAACGCCGCGUGAGUGAGGAAGGCCUUCGGGUCGUAAAGCUCUGUCAGAUGGGAAGAAAUGGGUGGGGGCUAAUAUCGUCCAUCCUUGACGGUACCAUCAGAGGAAGCACCGGCUAACUCCGUGCCAGCAGCCGCGGUAAUACUGGGGGUGCAAGCGUUGUUCGGAAUCAUUGGGCGUAAAGCGCGCGCAGGCGGCUUGGUAAGUCAGAUGUGAAAUCCCUGGGCUUAACCCAGGAAGUGCAUUUGAUACUGCCUCGCUAGAGUACGGGAGAGGAAAGUGGAAUUCCUGGUGUAGAGGUGAAAUUCGUAGAUAUCAGGAGGAAAACCGGUGGCGAAGGCGACUUUCUGGCCCGAUACUGACGCUCAGGCGCGAAAGCGUGGGGAGCAAACAG